rnacentral:misc_RNA from 1 species
UCCAGCUUAUCGCUGGCGGUCUCCUGCGAGUUCCGCCUUUCGGCAUGGCAACACAGGACGAGGGUUGCGCUCGUUGCGGGACUUAACCCAACAUCUCACGACACGAGCUGACGACAGCCAUGCAGCACCUCGACUCCACUCCCUUGCGGGAUAGAAAUGUUUCCACUUCCGUUGAGAAGCCGUUCGAGCCCAGGUAAGGUUCUUCGCGUUGCGUCGAAUUGAACCACAUGCUCCACCGCUUGUGCGGGCCCCCGUCAAUUCCUUUGAGUUUCAGCCUUGCGACUGUACUCCCCAGGCGGCACAUUUAACGCGUUAGCUCCGGCACGGAUCAACUGAAUGACCCACACCAAAUGUGCAUCGUUUAGGGCGUGGACUAC